rnacentral:lncRNA from 1 species
ACUCCGAUUUCCUGAAGUCUGGAAGAGACAAGUUCAAGCGCGGGUGGACGCGGAGGGAGCCCUGAGCCCCCGCUUCUCCCUGCGCCGCACAAAAUGGGGAGCAUCCCCUGUGCCCCCACAAUCCGGGGCCCCCCGGGCCCUCGCCCGCCUCCGCCUCUCAGCCCUGGGCUGGGGAUCCGCGCGUCACGCCGCGUCGCGUAGUGAGGAGCUCCAGCUCCGGCGGGACAUGGGAACCUCUCAAGAGCUGGCAGCGGCUGCGCGGAGGGUCCGCGAACCGCGACCACUGGACGCCCGCCUUGGAAACGCUGCAGCCCGGCGGCGUGGUGCAGAUGGGUGGUCAGUAGAGGCCUCGCCAGUGCACCAGGAACCAGCCACCAGGCCCCCUACCUCGACGCGCCCCACGCUUCUCCCGCUCCGGUCCUCUCUUCUCCCCCAGGGAAGCCAAAACCCAGAAGGUGAGCUUCCCACGUGGAACCUCAAUUCAAGAGGCUGACACUGAGCGUCGCUUCGCUCCACCAGACCCGCGGCGCCCGCCGGAGUCAGCGAUGUACCCCCUUCCCUUUCACUGGGGGAACUGGCGGAACCUCCGGUCACCAGGACGUGGGGAAGCAGAGGCCGCUUGGGGCAGCAGAG